rnacentral:lncRNA from 1 species
UAAUUUGAAUGAUGGAUAAUAUAUACUCACACAUUGUAUUCUUAUCAUGAGUCUUAUAAUUGUGUACUUUCUGGUAUGCUAGAUUAUGAUAUGGUUUUAUGACUUUUGCUCAUUUUUUGUGCCAAUAUUUGUGCAGCAUCUUCACACAAGAAAGGCUUGAGUGGUUGACAAAAAGUAUUGGAGAUUUAAAUUUAGAAGUUUUUGAAGGUAACUAUGAAGAUGAAAACUCAGAUAGUGAUCCCGAGAGUGUGGUGGUGGGUGAUGGACCCAUUGAAGACAGAUUUGAUGGAAAUUCAAUAAUUUCUCAAUCAAGAGGAGAAAAUUCUGCACCUGAAAACAAUGUGAGUGAUGGUUAUCCAGAGAACCUAAUGGCUAGUGGGGAGGUGCAAACAUAUAAUGAGAGUUAUGAUAAUGUUGUGCCCGCCGAGCCUGAAACUGAUAGGAGUAGGACCGCAGUCAAAGAAGAGUCUAGCCCUUCAAAUUCUAGAGAUAGUGAUGAGUAUGAAGAUGGACCCAUAGAAGACAGAUUUGAUGGAAAUUCAAUAAUUUCUCAAUCAAGAGGCGAAAAUUCUGCACCUGAAAACAAUGUGAGUGAUGGUUUUCCAGAGAACCUAAUGGUUAGUGGGGAGGUGCAAACAUAUAAUGAGAGAAUCAAC